GUGCUUGCUUUGGCAGCACACAAACUAAAAUUGGAACGAUACAGAGAAGAUUAGCAUGGCCCCUGC
rnacentral:snRNA from 1 species